GGAGGGUUGGCAGAGCGGUCGAAUGCGGCGGUCUUGAAAACCGUUGUAGGGCAACCUACCGGGGGUUCGAAUCCCUCACCCUCCGCCA
rnacentral:tRNA from 1 species